rnacentral:tRNA from 1 species
UAUAGCUCAGUGGCACAGCAUCUGCCUAGAAAGUGCAAAGUCCUGAGUUCAACUCUCAGUA